rnacentral:rRNA from 1 species
AUUGAACGCUGGCGGCAUGCCUUACACAUGCAAGUCGAACGGCAGCACGGGUGCUUGCACCUGGUGGCGAGUGGCGAACGGGUGAGUAAUACAUCGGAACGUACCUUAUCGUGGGGGAUAACGCAGCGAAAGCUGUGCUAAUACCGCAUACGCCCUGAGGGGGAAAGCGGGGGAUCGCAAGACCUCGCGCGAUUAGAGCGGCCGAUGCCUGAUUAGCUUGUUGGUGGGGUAAAAGCCCACCAAGGCGACGAUCAGUAGCUGGUCUGAGAGGACGAUCAGCCACACUGGGACUGAGACACGGCCCAGACUCCUACGGGAGGCAGCAGUGGGGAAUUUUGGACAAUGGGGGCAACCCUGAUCCAGCAAUGCCGCGUGAGUGAAGAAGGCCUUCGGGUUGUAAGGCUCUUUUGUCAGGGAAGAAACACCGGCUCUAACACAGUCCGGGAAUGACGGUACCUGAAGAAUAAGCACCGGCUAACUACGUGCCAGCCGCCGCUGUAACAC